UCUAAUUUCGCUGAUAGAGAGUUUAAGCAUUCUUCCGUUCAUUAAAGAGGAUACAAGAUGUAUUUAAACGUGUUGAUAAAAAAUCAAGACCGCCAAUAUCUGAAUGCUACUGAACAAGGACAUACCGCACAUAUUUAAACAUUUGAAAGCCACGAUGUACAGAUAUAUACCCUCAGUACCACGUCGUAAAUGUUGAUAGCAGCAGCAAAAA